GAAUGCUUCAUUUACAAUGGACCAUCCAGUUAUUUAUAGUGUGGUUAUUUAGAAUGUGCCAUAAUGAUUUUAGAAAACUAUUCUAUCCAAAUGCUGCCACAUCAUGCUUAUUAGUUUUGCAUAGCAAUUAACCCUUAAUCUGGGGUUAGAGCCUUUUGCUAGCUAUGAUAAAGCAGCACCUAUUAAGAAGAAAACAAAAGCAAAACAACAAAAAUAUUAAUAAUUUUAAAACUCCAAAACAAGAAAAAUAACCCACAAAAAUAAAACAUCUUUUUUUAAAAAAUAAUUAUUUUAUUAAACCCUUCUUAAAAAUCUGAGUGGUCAGGCUUGGUGAGUAUGUCAUUGAUUAUUAGUUCGUGCUCCGUACCCCUGUUGUUUUGUAGCUUAGUGUUUUAUGGAACCCACAGGUUGCUGUGCCCUAGCACAAUCAAAAACCGAAAGCAUUAUUAUAUAAUAAAAAUAGAUCCAUGAAGACAGUUCCCUAUGGCGGUGACUUGGUGCACCCCGUACUGAAGGAGCAGCAGCUUUGCUCUGAGGUCCCCAAGCGGUUGCUGCUUGAAGCAGCCACUGCAGUUUGUAAAGACCCGGCCUCUGCGUCGGACACUUUCUGAGUGAUGGAUCUAAUACUACAUCUUUCCUGUAUAGAUCUGGCAUUGUAAUCCACUUGGAUUAAAUUAUUCAGUCCUAAAUCUGUGUUCUUGUUACCAUGAUUAGUUAAUUUGACAUAAAGCCUUCUCAGACACAUGGGGCUACUCCAUUACUAGCAAGGUACCCUCUCUCUCCUGCAUACUUUGCCUCACAGUGUUGCAGUGUAUCCUGUGUGAGUGGUCUUGCUGCUUUUGCAGUGACCAUGUCAUCUUGCCUGUUGUCUGCUCUCCUAAACCUUUCUGGAGGGUAAAUCUGGGUCCUGCUGAGUAAGGCUGGGUCCAACAAGAGGUUUAGUCUGAGCCCGGCCUUCCGGACACUGUGGGCAGCGUGUUUUCCUACUGCUAGGUGAAAGCCGUGGGCACGUUGAAGUACAAUGAGGCAAAAUUAUUUCAGAAAAGCUUAUGCUGAAGUUUAUGAGGAAGCUGUUUUAAAGGAAUUCAAUACCCCUUUCUAAAAUAUUUUCAGUAGCUCUUUCACAGAACUCUUGCUAACUCUCUGCCACAAGUACUAUUGCAAGAGCUCACCAGUACAGAUAAGAGAUGUUAGGUUUGGAUGUUUUAAAGAGAUGAAGAAAUCUCCUUUUGUGAUGAAGGUUUCAGGCCGUAGGAGAGGGAAGCAAACGUAACAACUGCAGAGGACAGGGAAAGAACAGCAUCUUCAGAAAGGUCUGAGGCAAACAGAUGAUGAAUGUGGUGUGCCAGGGCCGGAAGGGUUCCUGGAACUCCUCUGCGCAGGGUGUGUGUCAUCUCUUACACCUUAACACCAGGGCACCCUUUUUUUUUUUCCCCCUGUUGCAGAGUCAGGCUCAGUGUGUAUUAGAAAACACUGACUGGUUCCAUGCUGUGCCUGUAUUGCUUGGUGUGGUAGUGUGUGCUUGCUGCCUGGCCGGAUGUCAAGCUAAACAGGGCAGGCUAUUGCUAAGCAGUCUUUUUGUUUGGUUCGUUGUUGGUGUGUUUUUGUUUGGCUGCUUGUUGUUUUUUGUUUGUUUGAGUUUUUUUACUGGAGACGCUAAUUUGGAUUUCUCAACUUGGCUGCUCCUUCCUGCCCUGCACCCCCAGUCUUUAAGAGCUUCGUAACAGGAGCUGUUAAUUGGUUGGUGGCAUCAGAAUUUCUCUGUGGGAGGAGAACGACACAGACAUAGUAUGCCCAGGCAAGCCCUGAGAGAGGAAGAGUGUUGCUUAGAGCACAGAACUAGAGUGAACACAGGACUAGAAAAUGAAAUUUGUGCAAGAUUUUCUGACUUUCCACUUCCUGAAUGGCCACUGUCGAUGCUGCAUCUCCUGGACCCCAGCAGCAGCAGCCUGGACAAGACCAGGAACCGCAAGCAGCUUUUGGAAUCCCAGGCCUCUGUUUUAGCACAUUUUACUCUGUAGGAGAAUGUAUGUGACCCUGGUAGGCAUCUUCCAUUUACAUGGUUGCCUUAUUGCCUGUCAAACUAAGCGCUGUGACAAGUUUAGCUGUAGUGGACUGAAAAUGUGACCUCUGCCAUUAUUCCAGGAACCCACCAUGUGAAGAUUAACAAUUUCUCUGACAGUUCCUCUGUCACACUUCUCAUCAAAAUAGAUGUGGGUUUUGUUUCCCUCAGCCUCUCAGAGCUGUUCAGGUGACUAUUAAGCCUCUCUCCUCCUCCAGCUCAGAGUAGAAUUCCCGGUUUCUUCCUGGUAUUCCUGAGGAUGGAAUCCCACCUGUGCUGAGGAACCCUGCCGUGCCUGCAGGAUGUACAAGUGAAACAAGAAAUUUGAGGAGACUGUUGGUUCCUAUGUGCCUGUGUAGCUUUGCGGAAGAGCAAAUACCUACUGAACAAGGUAUAGAGAAGUUUCUUCUUUCACGUUACAGAUGUCUUCUUCACCCGCUUUACAUUUGUAUAUUGCUCUUGAAUCCCAGACCUCAUUUGUUGUUCUAUUGAAGAUUUGUGCAAGAUUUUGUGACUCUCCAUUUCCUGAGUUGCUACUGUUGAUGCUUCACCUCCUGGACCCUGCUGCCAGUGGCAACAGCCUUCUUUCACAGGGCAGUCUAAUGUCAUUUAUUGUAACAUAUGGAGCAGAUUCUUUUGUUUACUUUCAAAUGCUUUUCUUUCUAUCCAGGUGAAAGUGAACUAGGAGAAUGUUAUGCCUUUAUUGUGAUAGACAUGUUGAAUCUGUCUGAAGUGUCAAGCAAGAAAAUGUUCCUACUAUGAAUAUAAAAUCCUUGAGGCAGGCGGUGCUGGAAAGGUCCCUGUUGUGAGGGGUAAGUGUAUUUUCACUUGGAAAAUAAUCUGUGAAAGUUCUGACACAUGAAGCAUAUCUUUGUAUUGCAAAGGCAAAUAUUGCUAAUAGGCUGUAGAAGAGACAGACCUCAGUUUGUGUGCAGUCCCUUGGAGAGUUCAGUAGUUCACAUGGCUUGUUGGUGCCAGGUCAGACAUUUUGAUUUGUUUGGGUAAUCUAAAUUUUUUUUAAUACAAAAUAUUUUUUUGUUUAUCGAAUGAUCACAUCUUCUUCUAGAGAUAAACUCAGGAUCUCGGCUUAUUUUCUGUCUCCGAUUUUUGUGUGUUUUUGUUGGGUUUUGCGUCUUUGGGGUGGGGCAGGGAAGUAUCUUUGUUCAUAAGAUGUUUGUGACUUGGAAGUAGUCCCUCAGUUUUACUUGCCUUUUCUCAUUUGAUCUUGUCUCAGUUGCAGAAGACAAGCAAAGGAAUAUGUAUAACCCAAAAUAUAGCAGAAGGAAGGACACACGUUUUUUGCUUGUGUGCUGUCAUUUGUGUAGAUUAAUAUAAAGAGAAGAAGCUGGAACUGAGUAGAUACAAAGAAGAGACCUGUUUUAAAGGAAAUGCAGAAAUAUGUUGAGCAGUUCAUAUAGCAAAGUAACAAGAAUGAAUGGGGAGAGAGUACCAGCUUGUUUUGUCAAGUGCACUGCAUUAAAAAAUUUAAAAUCAAACCACCUAUACAUGUAAUACAGCAAAUAAAGUUUCCAUGAAUGAAAUAUUAAAUUUGCAAGUUUAUUUGAAUAUCAUUAAAUUAAAUAAAGCAGCAUUAAAAUCCAACAAAGGGGGAGGAAGAUGAAGAGGAAAACAAUGACCGCAUAACAUUUGUAUUCUGCCCUUCCCAUGUAUCUUUUAUGCUAGUUGAACAUUUGUUCUCCGUGGAACCCGAAAAACCUCCAAAUUCUGAGGUUAUUUCACUUGUCUGAAAUAAUUCCAGUAGAGCCUGCACUGGUGAGCUACAAGAACUUCUCCUCUCUUCAGGAACAGACAGUCCAUCUGUAUACUUUACACAUAACUCCAUACUCUGUUUCCAGGUUUCUCUUUUAUUUCUUCCCAAGUAAACCUUCACUUUUCUGUGCAGCUUUCCAGACGGUGAACUGUGUGCACUGCUGGCAGCCAAUUCAUUAAGUUCUUUGUUUACAGCAGUAUCAGACCCCUCAGCCUCCAGAAGAACAUUGUGCUGCAUCUGUUGAUGAUUAUCACAUAAAUCACGAUGUUUCUUGACUAAUGGAGGAUUGGCAUCUGUUUUUUUCAAACGCUUUGCUGGUAGAACUACCGCAUUAUUUAAUUUUCGUUUUGGCUGUGAUGGGUUUUUGUAUUUUUCACUAAAAUCUGUAACCUGAGUAUGCGAAUAUAAAGUACACAUGUGUUCUUGAAAACACUGUAGAGUCUUUUUAUUUACUUCUGGUUCCACUAUUUCUUUACGGAAUGGCUGAUAAGGUUGAGACAAGUUCUCUGUGUAUG